GGAAAGGUAACGGCUUACCAAGGCGACGAUCAGUAGCCGACCUGGGAGGGUGAUCGGCCACAUUGGAACUGAGACACGGUCCAAACGCCUACGGGAGGCAGCAGUGGGGAAUAUUGCACAAUGGGCGAAAGCCUGAUGCAGCAACGCCGCGGGAGUGAUGAAGGCCUUCGGGUCGUAAAACUCUGUCCUCAAGGAAGAUAAUGACGGUACUUGAGGAGGAAGCCCCGGCUAACUACGUGCCAGCAGCCGCGGUAAUACGUAGGGGGCUAGCGUUAUCCGGAUUUACUGGGCGUAAAGGGUGCGUAGGCGGUCUUUCAAGUCAGGAGUGAAAGGCUACGGCUCAACCGUAGUAAGCUCUUGAAACUGGGAGACUUGAGUGCAGGAGAGGAGAGUGGAAUUCCUAGUGUAGCGGUGAAAUGCGUAGAUAUUAGGAGGAACACCAGUUGCGAAGGCGGCUCUCUGGACUGUAACUGACGCUGAGGCACGAAAGCGUGGGGAGCAAACAGGAUUAGAUACCCUGGUAGUCCACGCUGUAAACGAUGAGUACUAGGUGUCGGGGGUUACCCCC
rnacentral:rRNA from 1 species